CGACCCGCCGGGCGGGCGGCGCUGCCAGGACGCGCCCCGGGCCAGCCCGCCCGCAGGGCCGCGGGGACCCCGGGGCACUCGUCCCUUGUCCCGCAGGCUUCCUGGAGGUGGAGCCCACUGGCAAGGAAAGAAAAGUCCUGCCAAGAAAACGAUUAUCCGAGAUGAUGCAUUUGUUGGCAUUUUUAUAGCAAAUUUGGGAGCCUUUUAAAACCACACUUGGUGGCCUUUAAAUUGUGGUUCUUGGGUCUUCUGCACAUGUGAAAUCCUAAACGCACAGGGAAUAUGAGAAUCAAUGCGUUUGGAGAAAUCUAUCAAUACUGCAUCCGACAUUUAUAACAAUAUCUGAAGAAAAUAGUUCAAGUCUCUUUAAGAAGAAUCUUAGAGGAAGAAGAAAGUGUCUUAGGUAAUGGAGGUGAUUUUCAACACUUACCAGUAUAUGCAAAAUAGCUUUCACAUUUCCAAAGAGCUUCAAAGGGGAAAAGUGGACAGAAAGAAUAAAAUUUGAGUCCUGUAGAAGAGUGUAAGACCAAACAGCUAAAUCUGAACUGAUCACUCUGGGAAGAAAGAAAAAGAAUCAAUAACUGCCCUGCAAACCAGUUCCAGGGCUCAUUAGGAAGUAAAAGAGCGACUCUUCCUGCAGCUACAGCUCACAUGAAGAGAUAAUAUUUAACAUCCAGAAGCUGCUGGAGGGCUGAAGCAACCUGGAGCUGAAUACACAAACAGCUAUGAUUUCACAGAAUAAUAGACAAUAUACGAACAAUGUAAGCAGCAUACAGGAGAAUGCAGAAAAGGCAAAAGUAUUUCCCACAGUUAAAAUGCUUUAUCCACUAGUUUGUCAGCACCUGCAGACCAGACUGUGUCUCAGUGGCCCCGUUUACCACCACAUCUGCACAGAGCAGGUACUCAGUACGGCAAGCUGUGUGGGAGAGCUGCCAGAACAUUACUAUCCAAAGCCACAUCCCAAAAAAUGUUAAGGGGUCUUGCACCCACUUUCCUGCUGGGCAUAAUCUGGUCUUUUUUCUGAUUAGUUCAGUGUAGUAGUUUCUUUUUCUUUGUGGGGAAUAUACUCUAAGACACCCCCCUCCAGUAGAUACCUGAAACC